rnacentral:tRNA from 1 species
CGGGAUGUGGCGCAGUUUGGUAGCGCACUUGCUUCGGGAGCAAGGGGUCGCAGGUUCAAAUCCUGUCAUCCCGACCA